CAGCCGCCACGGGAAUACGAAGGGGGCUAGCGUUGCUCGGAAUCACUGGGCGUAAAGGGUGCGUAGGCAGGUCUUUAAGUCAGGGGUGAAAUCCUGGAGCUCAACUCCAGAACUGCCUUUGAUACUGAAGAUCUUGAGUUCGGGAGAGGUGAGUGGAACUGCGAGUGUAGAGGUGAAAUUCGCAGAUAUUCGCAAGAACACCAGUGGCGAAGGCGGCUCACUGGCCCGAUACCGACGCUGAGGCACGAAAGCGUGGGGAGCAAACAGGAUUAGAUACCCCUGUAGUCCCUGUCUCUUAUAC
rnacentral:rRNA from 1 species